AUCGCUUCUCGGCCUUAUGGCUAAGAUCAAAGUGUAGUAUCUGUUCUUAUCAGCUUAAUAUCUGAUAAACUACUCAUAGAGUAGUUCCAAAUAUUAGCUUGAUUUUUGAAAGUAUGUAGAGUGCUGAAGCUUGCUUCGCAUCUGCUUCGAGUUGAACCGGCGUUGCAGUAUUGCCUGCAUCAACUCGUAUAAU